rnacentral:rRNA from 1 species
AACGGACGCUGGCGGCAUGCCUAACACAUGCAAGUCGAACGAGACCUUCGGGUCUAGUGGCGCACGUGUGCGUAACGCGUGGGAACCUGCCCUUAGGUUCGGAAUAACUCCCCGAAAGGGGUGCUAAUACCGGAUAAUGUCUUCGGACCAAAGAUUUAUCGCCUUUGGAUGGGCCCGCGUUGGAUUAGCUAGUUGGUAGGGUAAAAGCCUACCAAGGCGACGAUCCAUAGCUGGUCUGAGAGGAUGAUCAGCCACACUGGGACUGAGACACGGCCCAGACUCCUACGGGAGGGAGCAGUGGGGAAUAUUGGACAAUGGGCGAAAGCCUGAUCCAGCAAUGCCGCGUGAGUGAUGAAGGCCUUAGGGUUGUAAAGCUCUUUUACCCGGGAUGAUAAUGACAGUACCGGGAGAAUAAGCGCCGGCUAACUCCGUG